AAGCGAAUGGCGCGUGCUAUACAUGCAGUCGAGCGGACAGAUGGGAGCUUGCUCCCUGAUGUUAGCGGCGGACGGGUGAGUAACACGUGGGUAACCUGCCUGUAAGACUGGGAUAACUCCGGGAAACCGGGGCUAAUACCGGAUGCUUGUUUGAACCGCAUGGUUCAAACAUAAAAGGUGGCUUCGGCUACCACUUACAGAUGGACCCGCGGCGCAUUAGCUAGUUGGUGAGGUAAUGGCUCACCAAGGCAACGAUGCGUAGCCGACCUGAGAGGGUGAUCGGCCACACUGGGACUGAGACACGGCCCACACUCCUACGGGAGGCAGCAGUAGGGAAUCUUCCGCAAUGGACGAAAGUCUGACGGAGCAACGCCGCGUGAGUGAUGAAGGUUUUCCGAUCGUAAAGCUCUGUUGUUAGGGAAGAACAAGUACCGUUCGAAUAGGGCGGUACCUUGACGGUACCUAACCAGAAAGCCACGGCUAACUACGUGCCAGCAGCCGCGGUAAUACGUAGGUGGCAAGCGUUGUCCGGAAUUAUUGGGCGUAAAGGGCUCGCAGGCGGUUCCUUAAGUCUGAUGUGAAAGCCCCCGGCUCAACCGGGGAGGGUCAUUGGAAACUGGGGAACUUGAGUGCAGAAGAGGAGAGUGGAAUUCCACGUGUAGCGGUGAAAUGCGUAGAGAUGUGGAGGAACACCAGUGGCGAAGCGACUCUCUGGUCUGUAACUGACGCUGAGGAGCGAAAGCGUGGGGAGCGAACAGGAUUAGAUACUCCUGGUAGUCCACGCCGUAAACGAUGAGUGCUAAGUGUUAGGGGUUUCCGCCCCUUAGUGCUGCAGCUAACGCAUUAAGCACUCCGCCUGGGGAGUACGGUCGCAGACUGAAACUCAAGGAAUUGACGGGGCCCGCACAAGCGGUGGAGCAUGUGGUUAAUUCGAAGCACGCGAAGAUCUUACCAGUCUUGACAUUCCUCUGACAUCUAAGAGAUAGGACGUUCCCUUCCGGGCCAAGUGACAGUGUGCAUGUUGUCCGUCAGCUCCUGUUCUGGGAAUGUUGUUAUCCCGCAACGAGCGCACCUUGAUCUAUUUGCAGCAUCAAUGGGACACUCUAGUGACGUCGCCGUGACAC
rnacentral:rRNA from 1 species